rnacentral:rRNA from 1 species
CCUACGGGCGGCUGCAGUGGGGAAUAUUGCACAAUGGGGGAAACCCUGAUGCAGCGACGCCGCGUGAGUGAAGAAGCGUUUCGGCGCGUAAAGCUCUGUCAGCGGGGAAGAAACACGGUUCGCGAGAGCCGCGGACGGUACCCGACCAAGAAGCCCCGGCUAACUACGUGCCAGCAGCCGCGGUAAUACGUAGGGGGCAAGCGUUAUCCGGAUUCACUGGGUGUAAAGGGGGCGUAGACGGCGAGACAAGUCUGGAGGGAAAGGCCGGGGCCGAACCCCGGUGCUGCUCUGGAAACUGGCUGGCUGGAGUGCGGGAGAGGUAAGUGGAAUGCGUGGUGUAGCGGUGAAAUGCGUAGAUAUUAGGAGGAACACCAGUGGCGAAGGCGGCUUACUGGACCGUAACUGACGUUGAGGCACGAAAGCGUGGGGAGCAAACAGGAUUAGAUACCCUAGUAGUC